UACGAAGGGGGCUAGCGUUGUUCGGAUUUACUGGGCGUAAAGCGCACGUAGGCGGGUUGUUAAGUCAGGGGUGAAAUCCUGGAGCUCAACUCCAGAACUGCCUUUGAUACUGGCAGCCUAGAGGCUGGAAGAGGUUAGUGGAAUUCCCAGUGUAGAGGUGAAAUUCGUAGAUAUUGGGAAGAACACCAGUGGCGAAGGCGGCUAACUGGUCCAGAUCUGACGCUGAGGUGCGAAAGCGUGGGGAGCAAACAGG
rnacentral:rRNA from 1 species